rnacentral:rRNA from 1 species
GAUGAACGCUGGCGGCGUGCCUAAUACAUGCAAGUCGAGCGAACAGACGAGGAGCUUGCUCCUCUGACGUUAGCGGCGGACGGGUGAGUAACACGUGGAUAACCUACCUAUAAGACUGGGAUAACUUCGGGAAACCGGAGCUAAUACCGGAUAAUAUAUUGAACCGCAUGGUUCAAUAGUGAAAGACGGUUUUGCUGUCACUUAUGGAUGGAUCCGCGCCGCAUUAGCUAGUUGGUAAGGUAACGGCUUACCAAGGCAACGAUGCGUAGCCGACCUGAGAGGGUGAUCGGCCACACUGGAACUGAGACACGGUCCAGACUCCUACGGGAGGCAGCAGUAGGGAAUCUUCCGCAAUGGGCGAAAGCCUGACGGAGCAACGCCGCGUGAGUGAUGAAGGUCUUCGGAUCGUAAAACUCUGUCAUUAGGGAAGAACAAAUGUGUAAGUAACUAUGCACGUCUUGACGGUACCUAAUCAGAAAGCCACGGCUAACUACGUG